rnacentral:rRNA from 1 species
CCUACGGGUGGCUGCAGUGGGGAAUAUUGGACAAUGGGGGGAACCCUGAUCCAGCCAUGCCGCGUGUGUGAAGAAGGCCCUCGGGUUGUAAAGCACUUUCAGUGAGGAAGAACGCCUGGUGGUUAAUACCCAUCAGGAAAGACAUCACUCACAGAAGAAGCACCGGCUAACUCCGUGCCAGCAGCCGCGGUAAUACGGAGGGUGCGAGCGUUAAUCGGAAUUACUGGGCGUAAAGCGCGCGUAGGUGGCUUGAUAAGCCGGUUGUGAAAGCCCCGGGCUCAACCUAGGAACGGCAUCCGGAACUGUCAAGCUAGAGUGCAGGAGAGGAAGGUAGAAUUCCCGGUGUAGCGGUGAAAUGCGUAGAGAUCGGGAGGAAUACCAGUGGCGAAGGCGGCCUUCUGGACUGACACUGACACUGAGGUGCGAAAGCGUGGGUAGCAAACAGGAUUAGAUACCCUUGUAGUC